rnacentral:snRNA from 1 species
CCCGGUCGUACUCAUAACC